rnacentral:rRNA from 1 species
AUUGAACGCUGGCGGCAGGCCUAACACAUGCAAGUCGAGCGAGCGGCGGACGGGUGAGUAAUGUCUGGGAAACUGCCUGAUGGAGGGGGAUAACUACUGGAAACGGUAGCUAAUACCGCAUAACAUCAGAUGUGCCCAGAUGGGAUUAGCUAGUAGGUGGGGUAACGGCUCACCUAGGCGACGAUCCCUCGCUGGGCUGCGAGGAUGACCAGCCACACUGGAACUGAGACACGGUCCAGACUCCUAGGGGAGGCGGCAGUGGGGAAUAUUGCACAAUGGGCGCAAUCCGGAUGCGGCCAGGCCGCGGGUGUGAAGAAGGCCUGCGGGUUUUAAAGCACUUUCAGCGGGGAGGCGUUACCGGCAGAAGAAGCACCGGCUAACUCCGUGCCAGCAGCCGCGGUAAUA